AGUCCCUCUGUCCUGCAAACACUCCCUGCAAGCUGCUUCACAUUGCCGUCUUCGAAUGCAUUUGCUGCCUCUCGCAUACUCAGACUAAAGACUUAUUUAGUAAAUUGUCUUAUUUCUGUGUUUGUGCUGGCAAUGGCAAUGCACCAGUCCUGCAGAGAGCAACAGGCUUGCCAGACCUCAGGUCUCUCUUUGAACCCGACGGCAGCCGGGGGAGCGGAGGCAAGACGGGCGACAGAUGCAGCUGGGUCCCAGGUUCCUGGCAUGACAGAUGGAUGGGUAGAAAGAAUUCUGACAAGGUCCAUAAAUCUCCUUCCUGAGCUAUUAAUCAACCCCAAAUUGCACAUCUAAUGCUGUUCCUAGGCAAAGGUGGAGGACAGGAGAUACUCUCAGCUUGCGUUGCUGCAGGGGUCACGUUCCCUACGACCAGUCAGGAGCUCCUGCACCCACCUGCAACUCACAGCAGCGAAGCGAUGAGCCAAGCUGAGCAGGAACAAGGGCUGGACAGAAGGAGAGGGGUCUCGCCUGGCAGUCAACGGGACACAGGGGAUCUGUCCGAGGUCCAGGUCCCAGCUCUGGGCUCGUGCCCUGCACUCCCAGCCCUACUUCUGGGGCUGUCGUGCUCCUUCAUUGAUCACUGGCAGCAGACGUGAUGGAGCUCACUACUGAUGGGCGUUACUCAUGUGUUAAAUGAAAGGUUGUCCUUGUGUUUUUUCGUGGAGAUGAGAAUCAGGAUGGCAGUUUCAAGGUGCAGCUUCAUUGCUAAGAUGCAGUGGACUCUCUUUGCUCCUGCUGGUAUACUCAGCCCGUCCUCAGGAAUGGAAAUCAACAGAUUCGGUUUUCUGAGCUGGUAGCGCUAAAACUCAGCACUUUCUGUCUCAAGGUUGUCUGUGACUCGUCAGUAGAGAUGGAGUGUCUUUCAUGCUGAAGUGCCUUUUAUAGUGCGUUAAGUGUCUCAGAAAAAGUAUAACAACCCUGUUCAUGCCUGACUAUGACUGCCACAUUUCUUUGAAAUUGCUAGAAUAUUUUCAUUAAAUAUAUUUGAUUUUUUCAGAUAAUUUGGGGGGGAAACAAACAUAUUGCAGCUUCCUAUUGUAAAGAUCUUUUAUUAAACCUUCUGCCUGUG